CCAAGAAUAACCAUAUUCAAGCGUUUCAAUUCUUUCCAUUAUGAACACAACACCUUAGGGCAGGUUUCUAAGGGCCCUGACAACUUGAAUUACUGUCUUUCCCUACUUGCCUGCUUGCGACUGAGCUUACAAGGAAAUGACUUUAAACAAUGUCACACCUCUUUACCCACAGACACAGUUUACAGGACCUCAUUCGCACUCCAAUGACAAUGAAAGGAAGGGGGUGUUGGGCAGAGAAGCAAAGAGCUCCGGUUCUCACCAUCACAUGGUAGCGGGUGUAAGUUUGUUCCCAACAUACCAGACAGAGAGCAACUCUCACCAGAGAAGAUCCCAAUGUGUUUUAUGCUAGAUCUGACUUUAAUUAAGUGUAGACAAUGCUCCCAUCAGUGCUGGAACUGGCCCCGGUAACUUGCUUUAGCUGAUGGAAUGUUACCAAACACAACAUGAUCAAAGGCUUGAGAGAUGAUUUCCCUCCUGUGCUUCCGCAAUUACCAUGAAAAGAACAUGGCCUGGUGGUCCCUGAUCCCCAAAGAAUGACGGACACCUGGA
rnacentral:lncRNA from 1 species